rnacentral:lncRNA from 1 species
CAAGUCUUUCCCCUCCCAAAACCGGCCCAAACAAAUUCCCACCCCCACCCGGUCCAUUUCAGUAACCCUCCAAACAGUGUUGUCCUAGGAAACCAAUCCAAGCCCUUCAUCUUUCAAUCCAAUGGUUGGUAUUGUCCUAUUUUGUUCCAUAUAUAACAAUCCGAACCAGUUCCUCCCACCACAUCUCACUCAUCUCCUUCACACCCCACUCCUCUCCAGAAACCCUAAUUGCGCCGCCCUUAAAUCCCCAUGCCGCCGGUGGCGGCGCCGCCUCCAAUCACCACGAAAAUAACACCACUGAACCACCAGACCACCCUCGUUACGAAUGCAUGAACUAUUUGCCUCAAAUCAGCCUAAAAGUUCUUGAAUCUUUAAUCGAAGAUUCAAGCCAAACAUGAACUUCAUCCAAACAAUCACAAAUUAAUGCCUGAUAGUCUAUAUACCUUCCUCAUCUCGAGUCUGGGGCUGUUUCUCUUUGAAUCUCAACAGGACGCCUCCAAUCUCACAUCUAGGGUUCGUGCUUUUCCAGACUAUGUUGUCAAUUUGCCAUGCGAAUUAACUUCAAGCUAAAAUUAUGGGUUUAUCCCCUGUGAGAUGAACCGGUAACUUUAACUCGGAGUUAAUUUUGAAGUUCCUAUUUGAAGAUUAGCUAUCUGUAAGUUUUCUGUAUCUCUGUCCAUUUAGUUUCUGUUUUUAGUUAAUUCAAUUUGUCUAUUCGUUUAAGCAUAGUGGUAGUUUUUCCGUCGAGUCAUAGCAUCAAUUCUUCUUCUUUGAGUUGUUUUCUGUGUUUAGUUUAAUUCACCUCAGAUAGAUUUCAUCUCUUGGUUAAAUUCUGGUUAUUGAUGGCUGUAAUGCCCAAUUGAUUAAUGCUAAUUAGUCAUUUGUGUUAUUAGGUUUUAGUUUACCCUGUUUGUUCGAAGUUUAAAUUUGGAACACAUGUUGAAUGUCUGGCUGAACUGUUCUAUUUCUUUUUCUGAUUAUUGAUUCUAUAUGGAUUGUUAUCUUAGAUGAUUCUCUUUUAUAAUUACUAUUAUAGAGUGAUUAGUUUGGGUCGUUAGUUAACUAUAUUGGUCUGAUUUGGAUUUGGAAGUUGUUUGAAAAUUGAUUUCGUUUUAGUUUUAAUUUGUUCAAUCUUAAUGUUAAUGAAGAAUUGGUUUGGGUAUAGCUGAUAGUUCACUUUUACUUAACUGCAUUUAAAGUUUAACUAGGUAAAAGGGGUUGUGGUUGGUUGGUAAUUUUAGGAGUGGUCAAGGGCACAUUAGGGAUAAAAAGGGUAAUUUUAUAAGGUUUGGUAAUUUCAAAACAUGGGUAAGGGUAGUAUAGGCAUUGUAUAGCUAAAACAACCUUCCAAGACAUUCCAAAUGGGGCUUUAGUAUAACUUUUAACAAUUUUAGUAGUAGUUACUUGGGGAACAAGUUAGAAAUAAGAGGGUUAAAAUGAAAAUGGGUAGGAACUUAUGUUGAAAACCUUUUGGCUGAUUUUUUUUCUUCUUUGCCUAUAUAAAAGGCAUCAAAUGCCUUGAGGUAGGGGGUCUUCAAUUUUUCAGCCUAAAUAUUUCAUAAGAAAAUUUGGUUUCUUCUUUCAUAGUAGUCUUAGAUUAGUUUCAGCACUUGGAUACACAGAAAAGACAAAAAAAUACAUACAAAAAAAAAAAGAAAACAACAAAAAGAAGAAAAAUCAAUGUUUCAUUGAAUGAACAUGGAUUGAUACUAACAGCCAGUGGAUCUCUUUACAUUGUUUGUUCAAAUUGAGUUUGGGUUUUACUGGGUUGGUUUGGUGCAUUUUAAAAUCAAUUGGGAGCAAAUUGAGUUAGUUUGGUUGGAUUUUCACGUUAAGUUUGGUGUUCAUGUGUUGCUGGGUUAUUGUUCUGAGUUCCUGGGCUGUGUAGUGUGUUGUUGAUUUAUUAAAAGUGUUGCUGCUUGAAUUUCCCUCAUACUCUGCUGCACUAUAGCUACUGCUGACCUCUUCCUCUUUUAUUUCACUUAAAAUUUCAGGUAUUUGUUCUGAACUUCAACAUCAUGUAAAAAUUUCAGCUGAAAUGAGAAAUGCAUUGAAGCCCUUUUGUUGUAGAUCUGUGGUUGAACAGCUUUCACUGCGUUUAAAUAGUUUACUUCUGUGAUUUGGCUAGUUAUUCGUUGUAAUCUAAAUUUGGACUGUGAUUAAGACUAUUUCUCUAGAACUAAUUAUUUGCCACGUGUUGUAAUAGGACUGCUGAAUUGAAUUUUUUUUCUAACAGUUGAAAGGCAUUUAUGUUCAAUAGAUUGUACAUUUAAAGGCUGGAAAUGGUUUAAGGGUUCGUCACUGCAUUUAAGCUCGAUAAUUAUCAGUGGGUUUGAAUCUGGGUCAAUAUCAUUUUGAAAGGUAAUGGUUUUGUAGUAAAAGUUUGAAUUCAUGAACUGGUUGAGUCUCGUGCAUCUUAAGUCCUAGUAACUGUUAUCUUAGUGUGGUGAAAUGAGUGUUGGAAUAAACGCAUUGAGUUUAAUUGGUUUUGCUUGAUUCGUGGAUGGUGAAUUCAUGUUGACAUCAGUUAGAGGCUAAGGAACCAGGGCCCAUACACGUUGAUUCAGCCUUUUGAGCCUGAAAACUUAUUAGUAUAAUGUUUAUAAAAUUUGGAGUUCAUGUCCUUUGAUAAAAUAAUGGUGAGAGUU